rnacentral:lncRNA from 1 species
CCAACCCCGUCUCCAUCAUCCCCAUUCUCCUCAUCCCCAUGGUCUCCACCUCCGUUUCCAACAUCCUCCUCACCCCCAUGGUCUCCAUCCCCGUCUCCAUCAUCCCCAUCCUCAUCCUCAUCCCCAUGGUCUCCAACCCCAUCUCCAUCAUCCCCGUUCUCCUCAUCCCCAUGGUCUCCACCUCCGUUUCCAUCAUCCUCAUCAUCCCCAUGGUCUCCAUCCCCAUCCUCAUACUCAUGUUCUCCAUUUCCAUGGUCUCCAUCAUCCCCAUCCUCCCCAUCCCCAUGGUCUCCAUCCAUCCUCAUCCCCAUCCCCACGGCCCCAUCUCCACCCCACUGCCUCCACCUCUUCUUCCAGGGCCUCCCAGGAGAGAGGGGUCUGGCCGGCCCCGAGGGGAAACCGGGCUUGCCAGGCUUCCCCGGCGUGCUGGGACGCCCGGGCAACCAGGGAGAGCCGGGACCACCAGGACCUCCGGUAAGGGUCCCCCCCAGUGUCCCCGUUGUCCCCAUGCUGGGAUCGUGCUGUCCUGCCACCCCCUCCUCGUCCUGAGGAGCCGUGCCACCAGCGGGCACCACGAGGACGAAAUGUUCCCUUGUUCCCUGCAGGGCACCGCUGGCCCCCCGGGGACCCAGGGCCCAGCUGGGAUGAAGGUACAUCAUCAUCAUCAUCAUCAUCACCAUCACCAUCACCAUCAUCACCAUCACCAUAUUUGACCCCGCAGAGGAACGCGCGGUGCCCUGCAGGCACCAGGGGCUGUGGGGAAAAAUGAGGGGCUGGUCCCCUGCUGGAGCCAGCCGCUGGGGGGCUCAGGGGACAUGGGGACAUGGUGGCAGGGCUGUUGGGGUGGUGGGACCGACGCGGGUGCUGUCUCCACAGGGUGACCCCGGGGAGCCUGGUGCCAGCAUCCGGGUGAGCCUCCACUCCCCCCCACCCGGUCCCUGACCCCAAAUCCCUUCCCAGGGGACAGAUGACGUCCCGGCGAGAUGUCCCAGCGU